GGAUAGCUCAGUUGGUUAGAGUUUGGCGCUGAUAACACUGAGGUUGCAGGUUUGAUCCCUGUAUGGGACA